GACGAACGCUGGCGGCGUGCUUAACACAUGCAAGUCGAACGGAAAGGCCCCUUUCGUGGUUCUCGAGUGGCGAACGCGGGCGUAACACUUACGUAACCUGCCCUUGCCUUCGGGAUAACUAUAGGUAACUGGGGCUAAUACCGAAUAGGAAUCCUAGCUUCCUCGUGGGGGUUGGAAAUCUUCGGGCGUUUUGGAUGGACUCGCGGGUUAUCAGCUUGUUGGGGGGGUAGUGGCUUACCAAGGCUUUGGCGGGUAGCCGGCCUGAGAUGGCGGCCGGCCACAAUGGGACUGAGAGACGGCCCAGACGCGUACGGGAGGCAGCAGUGGGGAAUAUUGCACAAUGGGGGCAAGCCUGAUGAGGAAACGCCCCGUGCGGGAUGACGGGUUGCGGGUUAGAAACCGGUUUCAGCAGGGGCGAGGCGUGUGGUGACGGUACCUGCAGAAGAAGCACCGGCUAACUACGUG
rnacentral:rRNA from 1 species